GAGAAAUCUCCGGUUCCAGCACGUACUUUAUGGUGGUUAUUUUCGAAGAAAAACUGCAUAUAUCCUUUGUUUAAGGUUGCAUCGCCGUUUCACCCUUUUGAAUGUCAUUAAACCUGCUGACAACGCUCA